CUACCCUAGAUCUGCCCUCCCGGACCACGCCCUAUUUAACACCCGCUCCGUUCUCAUUCGAAAGAAUGCCAGCCUAAAUUGUAAUAAAAAUACACCCACCGCUGAAUACUCAGAGACCCGGCGGGGAGGAAUCCCCUAGAGCUACGAGCAUCCCCGCCGGAUAGUGACAGCGAGAGGGAGCGGGGCAUUCAGCCCCGCGCGCCUUUUCCGUUUCGAUUCCAACGGUCGGGGCGGUGCGCUGUCGGGUCAGGUGACUGGGUCACCGCGGCGACCAUUACCAUGACAACCAUUUCCAUGACAACUGUCACCAGGGUCAUUGCGGCCUACAUCACCUGCAGCCUUCACUGAUAGUUAUCACACACAGCCGGGUGAACUCAAUAGGAUUGGAGAAGAAACCUUCAGUAACAUCUGGAUAUCAAGGAUACCUACAUCAGGCUCCUACCUGUUGACUACAGUUUCACCUUCAAACACCAUAAUUCCAAACAAAUUCAUCUCUAAAUCUGAGACCCAGGUUUUGGCACCUCCCUGUGCAACUGGAUCCUUGACUUCCUGACCCGUAGACCACAAUCAGUAAGAAUGGGUGACAACACCUCCUCCACCAUAAUAGUCAACACCUGUGCUCUGCGAGGCUGCAUACUCAGACCUCUACUAUAUUCCUUAUACACUCACAACUGUGGCCAGAUUCCAACCUGACUCCAUUUACAAGUUUGCUGAUGACACCACUGCUGUAGGAUCUCAAACAAAGACACGACAAAAUACAGAAAAGAGAUCAAGUGCUUACGGGCAUGGUUAAAGAUAACAUUCUCUCCACCAACAUCAGCAAAAUAAAGGAGCUGGUCAUUGACUUCAGGAAGUAGAAUGGAGGGCAUGCUAAGGUGGAGAUCGUCAAAAGUGUCAAGUUCCUGGCAGUAAUGAUCACCAGCAAUCUGUCCUCGUCCACCCACGUCAACACUACAGUUAAGAAAACGUAGCAAUGUUUAUACUUUUUCAGGAGGCUAAGGAAAUUCGGCAUGUCCACAAGGAUUCUUAACCAUUUUUAUAGAUGUUCAAUAGAAAGUACCCAAUCUGGAUGCAUCACGGCAUGGUAUGGCAACAGCUCUUCCUAAUACCGCAAGAAGCUACAGAGAGUCAUGAACACAACCCAAUCCAUCACGUAAACCAGACUUCUAUCCAUUGACUCCAGCUAUACUUCCUGCUGCCUCGGAAAGCAACUAACAUACUCAAAGACCCCUGCCACCCCAGUAAUACUGUCUUCCGUGCUCCUCUGUCAGGCAGAAGAUAUACAAGCUUGAAUGCACGUACAAAUGGAUUAUUUCCUGCUGUUAUCAGUCUUUUUAACGGACCUCUCAAAUGUUAAUGCUGAUCUCUGCACCUUAUCUGCAGCUGGAACACUGUAUUCUGCACUCUGUUCUGCUACCCUAAUGUGCUUUGUAUGGUACAAUUUACCUGUAUAGCACACAAAACAAGUUUUCACUGUAUAUUGGUACAUGUGACAACAAUAAAUCAAAUUCAAUAGGG